GGGUUUCGCGGCGCUCGCCGCACUGGUUGUUCAGCACCUUCGGUCCGGUUGAGGUUGUCAAGUCGGACCAAACAGGUUGUUUCUCUGCAGUUUCCAACAUGGCAGGGAGGUUUAAUAGACAUGGAUAAGAAGUCCACUCACAGAAAUCCUGAAGAUGCCAGGGCUGGCAAAUAUGAAGGUAAACACAAACGAAAGAAAAGAAGAAAGCAAAACCAAAACCAGCACCGAUCCCGACAUAGAUCAGUGACGUCUUUUUCUUCAGAUGAUCCUAUGUUUCCUUCUUCCUCAUCAUCGUCUUCAGGAAGCCAGACAGAUUCAAGUAUUGAAGAUGCUGCCAAGGGAAAAAUUAAGAAGAAGAGAAGAGAGAAAACAAAUAAAUGGGAAAAAAGAAAGGACAAAAUAUGAAACACCAAGAAAAAGAGAAGGAAAAAAAGGAGGAAACAACCACAUAUGUCACCUUUCCAAGGGACUGAAACUGGGCUGACCCUUUUGAUUUCCAAGCUCAGCGUUUUGGUGUAAGGCGGCCAAAGAAGGAUGCGGAGCCCAGCACUGUGAAGCCUACAAAAACAUUGAUGCGCUGGCUUGGGGAUUUGAAUUUGAACAUCUUUCACACUAAGUUCAGACUCAUGAAACCAAUCUUCAGAUGCUCUGUAAACCACAUAAUAAAGAGUUUGGAAAUUA
ensembl:lncRNA LINC00467 long intergenic non-protein coding RNA 467